UAUGUGUAAAGAGGAAACGACCCAACAAU
rnacentral:piRNA from 1 species